AAUAUUGUACAAUGUGGGCAACCCUGAUCCAGCCAUGCCGCGUGUGUGAAGAAGGUCUUCGGAUUGUAAAGCACUUUAAGUUGGGUGGAAGGGCUUUAGGCUAUUACCCUGAAUUUUUGACGUUACCAACAGAAUAAGCACCGGCUAACUCUUUGCCGGCAGCCGCGGUUAUACAGCGGGUGCAAGCGUUAAUCGGAAUUACUGGGCGUAAAGCGCGCGUAGGUGGUUCAGUAAGAUGGGUGUGAAAUCCCCGGGCUUAACCUGGGAACUGCUUUCAUAACUGCUGAGCUAGAGUACGGUAGAGGGUAGUGGAAUUUCCUGUGUAGCGGUGAAAUGCGUAGAUAUAGGAAGGAACACCAGUGGCGAAGGCGACUACCUGGACUGAUACUGACACUGAGGUGCGAAAGCGUGGGGAGCAAAC
rnacentral:rRNA from 1 species